UGAGAAUUUCAAUCGACCUAUGCAUUCCACGCUUUUAUGCUUACAACGGCUACCUUCAAGCAUCAUUGUAAAUUGUUCUUCUCGAAGCAGCCUUCCAAUUCCAAUGACUCUGAUCAUCAAUAUCGUUACUUCCAUCCAGAUAACCAUAAAUGUUUCAUGGCUGCCGGAAAAUACGACUAUGUUAACGACAUCACUCCUGCCAAGGAAUCCUGGGACAUUGUUGUUCGAGUUGUUCGUUUAUGGUUUGUACCAGAUUUGAAUUCCAAACAAAAUUUUUAUGCAAUGGAAAUGGUUUUGAUGGAUGAAGAGAUUCUUCUUUUAGGGAAGCGACUAUGGUUGUUGGAAAAUGUGGUUAUGAACCUGACAUUGGAACCUUGAAGGAUAAUAAAACGGAGAAGAUGCACAAUUGUACACAUCCAUAAGAUGAAGAAGAAAUCACUAUCAGUCAUUUGAACAGAAUGGUUUUCACAUAUAUAAGAGAACAAACGUAUGGUUGCCUACUUGGAAGAUAUUUACGGGGAUUCUAGAGGCAACAAGAUGGUUGUACUUUGCUGGUUUCACAGAAUUGAAGAGGUUGAUAUUGUUUUACCUCACAGUUUUAGUGACAACAAGUUUUGUUUUCUCUUUUUCUUCAAGAUCGGAGUAUUGAAUGUAUAAAUGGUUUAAUUUUCGUCCUCAGUCUCCAGCACUAUGCAAUAGCCAGUGCCACUGGGUUUACUAAACUGUUUUACAUAGUCACUUAGGUAUUUACUAAAUUGUUUUACAUGUUAUAUUUUGAUGAUUGUUGAACUGUUACAUAGAUCAUAUUAUGAUGAUUGUUGAUAUUAUGAUGAUUAUUG